rnacentral:tRNA from 1 species
GGAGAAGUACCCAAGAGGCCGAAGGGGAGGCUUUGCUAAAGCUUUAGGCUGGGCAACUGGCGCGAGGGUUCAUAUCCCUCCUUCUCCGCCA